rnacentral:rRNA from 1 species
UUCGGUUCUUCAACAUACA